UACGUAAGUGGCAAGCGUUAUCCGGAAUUAUUGGGCGUAAAGGGCGCGUAGGUGGUCUAACAAGUCUUAGGUAAAAUCACUAGGCUCAACCUAGAUGAAGCUUUUGAUACUAUUAGACUAGAGUAUGGGAUAGGAAGGUGGAAUUACUACUGUAGCGGUGGAAUGCGUAGAUAGUAGUAGGAACACCAAUGACGAAGGUAGCCUUCUGGACCAAAUACUGACACUGAGGCGCGAAAGCUAGGGGAGCAAACAGG
rnacentral:rRNA from 1 species